rnacentral:rRNA from 1 species
UAUGCUUAGCCUUAAACCCAGAUGCACUCUUACACACCUACAUCCGCCAGGGUACUACAAGCACAGCUUAAAACCCAAAGGACUUGGCGGUGCCUCAAACCCACCUAGAGGAGCCUGUUCUAGAACCGAUACCCCUCGUUAAACCUCACCACUUCUUGUUUUUCCCGCCUAUAUACCGCCGUCGUCAGCUUACCCUGUGAAGGCCCAAUAGUAAGCAAAAUGGGUCUACCCAAAAACGUCAGGUCGAGGUGUAGCGUAUGAAGUGGAAAGAAAUGGGCUACAUUUUCUAUAACAGAAUACUUACGAACGGCACUCUGAAAACAUGCCCGAAGGUGGAUUUAGUAGUAAAAAACAAGCAGAAAGUCUUUUUGAAUUAGGCUCUGAGGCGC